AGCGAACGCAGGCGGCAGGCCUAACACAUGCAAGUCGAACGAACCCUUCGGGGUUAGUGGCGGACGGGUGAGUAACACGUGGGAACGUGCCUUUAGGUUCGGAAUAACUCAGGGAAACUUGCGCUAAUACCGAAUGUGCCCUUCGGGGGAAAGAUUUAUCGCCUUUAGAGCGGCCCGCGUCUGAUUAGCUAGUUGGUGAGGUAAUGGCUCACCAAGGCUACGAUCAGUAGCUGGUCUGAGAGGAUGACCAGCCACAUUGGGACUGAGACACGGGCCAAACUCCUACGGGAGGCAGCAGUGGGGAAUCUUGCGCAAUGGGCGACAGCCUGACGCAGCCAUGCCGCGUUGAUGAUGAAGGUCUUAGGAUUGUAAAAUCCUUUCACCGGUGAAGAUAAUGACUGUAGCCUGAGAAGAAGCCCCGGCUAACUUCGUGCCAGCCGCCGCAGUAAGAC
rnacentral:rRNA from 1 species